CAGCCGUAAACAAUGUGCGUUAGGUGUGUCGGUAACCACGCGUUACUGAUGCGCCGAAGAGAAAUCGUGAAACGCACCACCUGGGAAGUACGGUCGCAAGGCUGAAACUUAAAGGAAUUGGCGGGGGAGCACCACAACAGGUGGAGCCUGCGGUUUAAUUGGAUUCAACGCCGGACAUCUCACCGGAUAAGACAGCUGAAUGAUUGUCAAUCUGAAGGUUUUACAUGACUAGCUGAGAGGUGGUGCAUGGCGUCAGUG
rnacentral:rRNA from 1 species